rnacentral:rRNA from 1 species
GACGAACGCUGGCGGCGUGCUUAACACAUGCAAGUCGAACGGUGAAGCGCCUUCCUUUUUGGUGGGUGUGGAUGAGUGGCGAACGGGUGAGUAACACGUGAGUAACCUGCCCCCUUCUUCUGGAUAACCGCAUGAAAGUGUGGCUAAUACGGGAUAUUCUGGGUCUGUCGCAUGAUGGGUCUGGGAAAGAUAUUGUUUCGGUGGGGGAUGGGCUCGCGGCCUAUCAGCUUGUUGGUGGGGUGAUGGCCUACCAAGGCGGUGACGGGUAGCCGGCCUGAGAGGGUGGACGGUCACACUGGGACCGAGACACGGCCCAGACUCCUACGGGAGGCAGCAGUGGGGAAUAUUGCACAAUGGGCGCAAGCCUGAUGCAGCGACGCCGCGUGAGGGAUGGAGGCCUGCGGGUUGUGAACCUCUUUCGCCAGUGAAGCAGGCCUGCCUCGUUUGUGGGUGGGUUGACGGUAGCUGGAGAAGAAGCGCCGGCUAACUACGUG